AUUCUAAACUUUCAUUUUCAUUCUUUCGACAUAAAAUUUUUUCAUUUGUAGAAUAUUCUUGGUGUUACACCUUUUCUCAUCCAUUAAAACUUUUACAGGUAUCUAUUUAUUAUUUUAAACUAAAAAUCCGAAGCCUAAGUCGUCCCUGCUGCCCGAAACGUACAAAUUUGAAAUUAAAUACUGGCAAUACCAAGAUAUUUUCGGCGACAAGACGAUUAUAAGCUUUUCUCAGUUUCGCACCUAAGAAUAUCAUCCGAAAGACUUGCGUUCUUCAAAGUAAAAAUACGAAGCCGACGAACCAAGGUCGAUAGUGCCAGCUGCAGACAGUGACGGAUACGCAACAAAUACGAUUGACCGAUAUCGACAGGAUCGAUUUUGCCCUCUCCCCCCGAGAUUCAACCCUCGAUGAGUAUUUAAACUUUGCCGAAAGGAAAAA